UGGACAAUGGGCGCAAGCCUGAUCCAGCCAUGCCGCGUGCAGGAUGACGGUCCUAUGGAUUGUAAACUGCUUUUAUACAGGAAGAAACCCUACCACGUGUGGUAGAUUGACGGUACUGUAGGAAUAAGGAUCGGCUAACUCCGUGCCAGCAGCCGCGGUAAUACGGAGGAUCCAAGCGUUAUCCGGAAUCAUUGGGUUUAAAGGGUCCGUAGGCGGUUUAAUAAGUCAGUGGUGAAAGCCCAUCGCUUAACGAUGGAACGGCCAUUGAUACUGUUAGACUUGAAUUAUUAGGAAGUAACUAGAAUAUGUAGUGUAGCGGUGAAAUGCUUAGAUAUUACAUGGAAUACCAAUUGCGAAGGCAGGUUACUACUAAUAUAUUGACGCUGAUGGACGAAAGCGUGGGGAGCGAACAGGAUUAGAUACCCUGGUAGUCCACGCCGUAAACGAUGGAUACUAGCUGUG
rnacentral:rRNA from 1 species